GCCUGGUACCCGAGGCCUUCCGAUGUUCAAAGAACGAAGGCCAGGCAUCGGAUGUCGAAUGGAUUCUUCCACUGAUCAAAAUACAAUAUGGAGGACUCAAUGAUGAAUUUCCAUACAUAUGGAAAGAAGAAACACCUGAUAGUAGAUGAAAAAACACCCUCAUAUAUAAUGCUUCAUGAAUAUGCAAAACCAUGCCAUAAGAUUCUACAGACUCCAGAUGGAAAAAGACAGAGAAAGAAAUUCUAAAGGGGUAUUCAAGGACCCAUCCUCCUCCAAACCAAUUCAUAUCGGAAGGAAUUAACAUCCAACUUGAAUGAAGAAUUACAGACUUCCAGAACAGGUUAACAACUAAAUCAAUUUGUUACAGUCUUAUUUCAAGUUUCCCACCUCUUACAGCAAUAACAAAAACAAUUAUAUCUGGCAUCUAAAGGUGUGAGAAGUUUAUCAUAUUCUAAAAUAUGUUCUAUUUGUUAGUGGAAGAAAUUCAAUCCCAUAUUGAUUAUAUUAGAUACUGACAAAUUCUGUAUUGAUAAAACACAAUAGUGAAAAAUGCAUGAUUUGUGUGUAUGGAAUGAACUGACCUACCUUGUUUUAUUUCAUGUGCAUCAUGCAAACCCUUUAAAAAAGGAGAAGCCAGAUCUUCAGAAGACUUCCUUGAAAAUGAGAAUUUUUUGAGUGGAAGUGAAGAAUAUGGCAUGCAUACAAGCAGACAUCAGCAUUCCCUCCCUCUUGUUUGUAUCAGAGGUGAGCUUUUUGAGAAAGACUUAUGGAGGAAGUUUGAGAGUGUCAGUUCUCAGAUCAAGAAGUUAGCUAACAGUAGGAGGAGUAGCAAUUCAUUCCACUGUAUGGCCAGAGAAAUAUAUGACAUAAAAGACCUAAAAAAGGAGAUUUGGCAUUGUUUCAUAUGGAAAUUGAAGAAUCUUUGAAAUGGAUACAUGCAACACAGACAUGUUUCAGUUACUUGGGGAUAAAACUUAUGAGGAAUUUUGCUAACUUUCAGAUGGGAAUGUGUUGCACAAGAAAUGCUUGAUCACAACCUUCUUUUCUUAGAAACCUUUUCUAUGCAAAUAAUUAUUUUAAAUGAAAUUUAGCUAUUUCAUUAGAUUAGUAAACAUGUUUUCUGUGCAAGUAUGUGUCUUUGACAUUAAAUGCU